GCUCGCCUGGGGCAUGGGCCUGCUGACCUGGCAGGACAGCCCCAAGGCCGGCUGGUACGACGCCGAGGGCGAGCUC
rnacentral:tRNA from 1 species